rnacentral:rRNA from 1 species
UACGAGGGGGGCGAGCGUUGUUCGGAAUUAUUGGGCGUAAAGGGUGCGUAGGCGGUUUGAUAAGUCUGAUGUGAAAUCUAUGGGCUCAACCCAUAGUCUGCAUUAGAAACUGUCGGGCUUGAGUAUGGGAGAGGUGAGUGGAAUUUCCGGUGUAGCGGUGAAAUGCGUAGAUAUCAGGAGGAACACCGAUGGCGAAGGCAGCUCGCUGGGACGGUACUGACGCUGAGACGCGAAAGCGUGGGGAGCGAACAGG